GACGUAGGGCGCGAGCGUUGUCCGGAUUUAUUGGGCGUAAAGAGCUCGUAGGCGGCUUGUCGCGUCGUUCGUGAAAACUUGGGGCUCAACCCCAAGCUUGCGGUCGAUACGGGCAGGCUAGAGUUCGGUAGGGGAGACUGGAAUUCCUGGUGUAGCGGUGAAAUGCGCAGAUAUCAGGAGGAACACCGGUGGCGAAGGCGGGUCUCUGGGCCGAUAUUGACGCUGAGGAGCGAAAGCGUGGGGAGCGAACAGG
rnacentral:rRNA from 1 species